rnacentral:rRNA from 1 species
AUAUCAAUAAGCGGAGGAAAAGAAACCAACAGGGAUUGCCCUAGUAACGGCGAGUGAAGCGGCAACAGCUCAAAUUUGAAAUCUGGCUUCGGCCCGAGUUGUAAUUUGUAGAGGAAGAUUUAGGCGCGGCACCUUCUGAGUCCCCUGGAACGGGGCGCCAUAGAGGGUGAGAGCCCCGUAUAGUUGGAUGCCUAGCCUGUGUAAAUCUCCUUCGACGAGUCGAGUAGUUUGGGAAUGCUGCUCAAAAUGGGAGGUAAAUUUCUUCUAAAGCUAAAUAUUGGCCAGAGACCGAUAGCGCACAAGUAGAGUGAUCGAAAGAUGAAAAGCACCUUGAAAAGAGGGUUAAACAGUACGUGAAAUUGUUGAAAGGGAAGCGCUUGUGACCAGACUUGGGCGCGGCGGAUCAUCCGGGGUUCUCCCCGGUGCACUUCGCCGUGUUCAGGCCAGCAUCAGUUCGGCGCGGGGGAAAAAGGCUUCGGGAACGUGGCUCCUCCGGGAGUGUUAUAGCCCGUUGCAUAAUACCCUGCGCUGGACUGAGGACCGCGCAUCUGCAAGGAUGCUGGCGUAAUGGUCACCAGCGA